rnacentral:tRNA from 3 species
GGCGCAAUGGCAGAGUGGUUAUGCACCGGAUUGCAAAUCCGUGUAGGUCGGUUCGAUUCCGGCUUGCGCCUCCA